ensembl:lncRNA
AUGGAGCUGUUUCCUUCACUGGGAUCAUCCCUUCCUGGUGAGAUACAGAUCCCCAUGGAUCCAUCAGGAUCACCCCUUCCCAGCAGGAUUCAGAUCCCCAUGGAUCCAUCAGGAUCACCCCUUCCCAGCAGGAUUCAGAUGCCUAUGAAUGCAUUGGGAUCAUCCCUUCCUGGUGGGAUUCAGAUCCCCAUGGAGCCAUUUCCUUCAUUGGGAUCAUCCCUUCCUGGUGACAUACAGAUCCCCAUGGAUCCAUCAGGAUCACCCCUUCCCAGCAGGAUUCAGAUGCCUAUGAAUGCAUUGGGAUCAUCCCUUCCUGGUGGGAUUCAGAUCCCCAUGGAGCCAUUUCCUUCAUUGGGAUCAUCCCUUCCUGGUGACAUACAGAUCCCCAUGGAUCCAUCAGGAUCACCCCUUCCCAGCAGGAUUCAGAUGCCUAUGAAUGCAUUGGGAUCAUCCCUUCCUGGUGGGAUUCAGAUCCCCAUGGAGCCAUUUCCUUCAUUGGGAUCAUCCCUUCCUGGUGACAUACAGAUCCCCAUGGAUCCAUCAGGAUCACCCCUUCCCAGCAGGAUUCAGAUGCCUAUGAAUGCAUUGGGAUCAUCCCUUCCUGGUGGGAUUCAGAUCCCCAUGGAGCCAUUUCCUUCAUUGGGAUCAUCCCUUCCUGGUGACAUACAGAUCCCCAUGGAUCCAUCAGGAUCACCCCUUCCCAGCAGGAUUCAGAUGCCUAUGAAUGCAUUGGGAUCAUCCCUUCCUGGUGGGAUUCAGAUCCCCAUGGAGCCAUUUCCUUCAUUGGGAUCAUCCCUUCCUGGUGAGAUACAGAUCCCCAUGGAUCCAUCAGGAUCAUUCCCUCCCAGACAGAUUCAAAUCCCCACAGAUCCAUCAGGAUCAUUCCCUCCCAGACAGAUUCAAAUCCCCACAGAUCCAUCAGGAUCAUUCCCUCCCAGACAGAUUCAAAUCCCCACAGAUCCAUCAGGAUCAUUCCCUCCCAGACAGAUUCAAAUCCCCACAGAUCCAUCAGGAUCAUUCCCUCCCAGACAGAUUCAAAUCCCCACAGAUCCAUCAGGAUCAUUCCCUCCCAGACAGAUUCAAAUCCCCACAGAUCCAUCAGGAUCAUUCCCUCCCAGACAGAUUCAAAUCCCCACAGAUCCAUCAGGAUCAUUCCCUCCCAGACAGAUUCAAAUCCCCACAGAUCCAUUGGGAUCAUCCCAUCCCAGCAGGAUUCAGGUCCCCAUGGAUCCAUCAGGAUCAUCCCAUCCCCUUUCCAGGGCUGUCCCUAAUGGGAAAUUUCAUCCCUCCUCCAUAAAAUGAGGCCAAGCCUUUACUGGGGACAAAAAUCCCUGUCAGCCACACAAGGAAAAGGAAUUCCACCUUCCCGGGGCUUUGGGUUAUCCCUCCAUCUCCAAUUCCUUGGGGAAACCCCCCAAAGUCAGGAGGUGACCCCAAAAAGCCCCAAGUUUUGUUGGUUUUGGUGCUUUCCAAGCGGGAUCUGCAGCUUGGAUCGAGCCCAUCCCGCUGAAUUCCCACUCUGGAUCAGCCUCAUUACCAUGGAUGCGUUUUGCAUAAAUGUUUGCUUAAUGCCGAGUCCGAAAUAUCCCAGAAAAUUAAAAAUAAAAAAAUUGGAAUUGAAGGCAGCUCAUGGCUCCCGGGGUGCAUCCUGCUGUUGCCAUGGCAGCCAGGGGGCUCGGGGAUGCUUCCCAAAAAAAUCAGAGCUCAGGGAGGAACCAUUUGGGUUCAAAACAUCCGGAUGGAAGUGAAUUCACAUUUUUCAGGAAUCCCCAGUUUAAUUUCGGGGCAGAUUCCGGCAGAUUUGGGGUUCCUGGAGGGUGGAGAAUUCCAGCUUGUUCCCAACAGUAAUUAGUGUUAAUUACUUCAGUAAUUACUGAGCUCCAAGCAGCAAUUGAAAACCAACCCAGGCAGGGCGGGAAUUUUGGGGUGGGAAAUGAGGAAUUCAAUUGGAUUUGGUGUUUCCAGGGCUGAGAAACCUCCUGGGCAUCGGGAAUUCCAGAGGGAAGGAAGGGAAAAGGGGAGAGAGGGAAUUGCUUCCACAGGAUGCUCCGAUGGGCUUAAUUAGAAAUUAAUUAUUCAUUGGAGCCACUGGAUGGGAAAGGAGGGGUUGGAGGAGGAUUUAUGGAAUCCUGGGGGGGAUCCACACUCUAGCCAGGAUUUGUUUGGGAGGAAAUCCCUCCCUGAGGGGCUGGGAUGGAAUUCCCAGAGGAGCUCUGGCUGCCCCUGGAUCCCUGGGAGUGCUCAAGGCCAAGCGGGAUGGGGUUAGAUCGGAAGAGCGUCGCUGGAUCCCUGGAAGUGUCCAAGGCCAGGUUGGACAUGACACCAAAAAUCUGGGAAAUCCUGGGAUUUGUGGCACAAGAAUUGGGGAUAAAACACACGGAAUGGGAGCACAAAAAAAUCUGGGAAAUCCUGGGAUUUGUGGAAAAAAAUUGGGAUAAAACACAGGGAUUGGGAGCACCAAAGGUCAGAUUAUCACUGUUCAUUUGGGAAUGAGGGGCAGGAGAAGGGAUUGGGGCCAUUCCCAGGGGCAGGAGAAGGGAUUGGGGCCAUUCCCAGAGGCAGGAGAAGGGAAUGGGGCCAUUCCCAGGGGCAGGAGAAGGGAUUGGGGCCAUUCCCUGGAGCAGGAAAAGCAACUGGGGCUGUUCCCAGAGGCAGGAGAAGAUUGGGACCAUCUCAAGCUCUGUCAUGCUCCAGCCUCUUCCAGAACAUUCCCACUAAAGGGAAAAGAAUCCAUCCCAGCUGGAUGUGAGCUGUGCUCAGCAGCCAGGCAGAGCAGAGCUUCCCAAUAAAAUCUUGGAGAGAUCCAACCCAUUUCCCUCUCCCGAGCGUUCCCUGUGCUUCCAGCUCUGAACACGGCACUGGAGCCACGGCCAGAGGGGAUGGACACGGCCCUGGAAGGGGAAAGCAGGGGGGGAAUGUCCUGAAAUCCAAAUCCAAGGCCUUUGCCAGGCUUCCUUCAGGGAAUG